rfam:Sordaria macrospora k-hell, WGS project CABT02000000 data, contig: 2.57
GUGUGAUUGGCGCAGUGGUCAGCGUGUCCGCUCCCUAACUAGGGAUUGACAGCCCCUUUCAGUGCCGAAAACGGCACCGACUACCCUAAUGGGAGGAAAAGGCACUCAUAGAAAGUCGGGGGGAUCAAAUCUAGGGAACAGCGGAAGGCCUGGGUUCGAAUCCCAGAUCGCACA